rnacentral:rRNA from 1 species
CUGGUAGUUGGGUAGAGCAUACUAAGGCGUGCGAGUGAAUCGUGGUUAAGGAACUCGGCAAAAUGCCCCCGUAACUUUGGGAGAAGGGGGGCCCACUCUUUACACGCCCCGUGUCUGGGUGUUGUGGGGGGUUGGGUCGCAGAGUCUAGGGAGAAGCGACUGUUUAUCAAAAACACAGGUCCGUGCGAAGCUGUAAGGCGAUGUAUACGGACUGACGCCUGCCCGGUGCUGGAAGGUUAAGCGGACUGGUUAGCCCCUUUUUUGGGGGCGAGGCUGGGAAGUUAAGCCCCAGUAAACGGCGGUGGUAACUAUAACCAUCCUAAGGUAGCGAAAUUCCUUGUCGGGUAAGUUCCGACCUGCACGAAUGGCGUAACGACUUCUCUACUGUCUCGACCACGAGCUCGGUGAAAUUGCAUUACG